GACGAACGCUGGCGGCGUGCUUAACACAUGCAAGUCGAACGGAAAGGCCCUGCUUUUGUGGGGUGCUCGAGUGGCGAACGGGUGAGUAACACGUGAGUAACCUGCCCUUGACUUUGGGAUAACUUCAGGAAACUGGGGCUAAUACCGGAUAGGAGCUCCUGCUGCAUGGUGGGGGUUGGAAAGUUUCGGCGGUUGGGGAUGGACUCGCGGCUUAUCAGCUUGUUGGUGGGGUAGUGGCUUACCAAGGCUUUGACGGGUAGCCGGCCUGAGAGGGUGACCGGCCACAUUGGGACUGAGAUACGGCCCAGACUCCUACGGGAGGCAGCAGUGGGGAAUAUUGCACAAUGGGCGGACGCGUGAUGCAGCGACGCCGCGUGCGGGAUGACGGCCUUCGGGUUGUAAACCGCUUUCGCCUGUGACGAAGCGUGAGUGACGGUAAUGGGUAAAGAAGCACCGGCUAACUACGUG
rnacentral:rRNA from 1 species